UGACCGCUGGCGGCAGGCCUAACACAUGCAAGUCGAGCGGAUGAAGGGAGCUUGCUCCUGGAUUCAGCGGCGGACGGGUGAGUAAUGCCUAGGAAUCUGCCUGGUAGUGGGGGAUAACGUCCGGAAACGGGCGCUAGUACCGCAUACGUCCUGAGGGAGAAAGUGGGGGAUCUUCGGACCUCACGCUAUCAGAUGAGCCUAGGUCGGAUUAGCUAGUUGGUGGGGUAAAGGCCUACCAAGGCGACGAUCCGUAACUGGUCUGAGAGGGUGAUCAGUCACACUGGAACUGAGACACGGUCCAGACUCCUACGGGAGGCAGCAGUGGGGAAUAUUGGACAAUGGGCGAAAGCCUGAUCCAGCCAUGCCGCGUGUGUGAAGAAGGUCUUCGGAUUGUAAAGCACUUUAAGUUGGGAGGAAGGGCAGUAAGUUAAUACCUUGCUGUUUUGACGUUACCAACCGAAUAAGCACCGGCUAACUUCGUGCCAGCAGCCGCGGUAAUACGAAGGGUGCAAGCGUUAAUCGGAAUUACUGGGCGUAAAGCGCGCGUAGGUGGUUCAGCAAGUUGGAUGUGAAAUCCCCGGGCUCAACCUGGGAACUGCAUCCAAAACUACUGAGCUAGAGUACGGUAGAGGGUGGUGGAAUUUCCUGUGUAGCGGUGAAAUGCGUAGAUAUAGGAAGGAACACCAGUGGCGAAGGCGACCACCUGGACUGAUACUGACACUGAGGUGCGAAAGUCGUGGGGAGCAACCAGGAUUAGAUACCCUGGUAGUCCACGCCGUAAACGAUGUCGACUAGCCGUUGGGAUCCUUGAGAUCUUAGUGGCGCAGCUAACGCGAUAAGUCGACCGCCUGGAGAAGUACGGCCGCAAGGUUAAAACUCAAAUGAAUUGACGGGGGCCCGCACAAGCGGUGGAGCAUGUGGUUUAAUUCGAAGCAACGCGAAGAACCUUACCUGGCCUUGAACUUCCCAGAGAUGGAUUGGUGCCUUCGGGAACUCAGACACAGGUGCUGCAUGGCUGUCGUCAGCUCGUGUCGUGAGAUGUUGGGUUAAGUCCCGUAACGAGCGCAACCCUUGUCCUUAGUUACCAGCACCUCGGGGGGGCACUCUAAGGAGACUGCCGGUGACAAACCGGAGGAAGGUGGGGAUGACGUCAAGUCAUCAUGGCCCUUUCGGCCAGGGCUACACACGUGCUACAAUGGUCGGUACAAAGGGUUGCCAAGCCGCGAGGUGGAGCUAAUCCCAUAAAACCGGGAUCGCAGUCUGCAACUCGACUGCGUGAAGUCGGAAUCGCUAGUAAUCGUGAAUCAGAAUGUCACGGUGAAUACGUUCCCGGGCCUUGUACACACCGCCCGUCACACCAUGGGAGUGGGUUGCCCAGAU
rnacentral:rRNA from 1 species